AUCAAAAACAUGUCUUUUUGAUAAUAAUUUAAAGUCUGACCUGCCCAAUGAGGAUUUGAAUGCGCACGCGUGUAUUUUGACCGUGCAAAGGUAGCAUAAUCAUUAGUUUUUUAGUUGAAAGGUGGAAUGAAUGGUUGGACGAGAAAAUAACUGUCUCAAUUUAAUUUUAGUUAUAAUUUUAUUUUUAAGUAAAAAAGCUUAAAUAAGUUUAAAAGACUAGAAGACCCUAUAGAGUUUUAUAAUUAUUAAAUAUAAAUAAUUUAGUAUGUUUGGAAUUUAUAUUAAUAUAAUUAUUUUGUUGGGGUGACAGAAAAAUUGGUGCAGCUUUUUUUAUAUUUUAACAUUAGUUUAUGAUUAUUUGAUCCGUUAUUUUUGAUUAUAAGAUUAAAUUACCUUAGGGAAUAACAGGCGUACUUUUUUUUGAGAGUUCAUAUCGAAAAGAAAGUUUGCGACCUCGAUGUUGGAUUACAAAUUAACUUUUGGUGCAGAAGCUAGAAGGUUAGGUCUGUUCGACCUUUAAAAUUUUACAUGAUCUGAG
rnacentral:rRNA from 1 species